CCCACCUCCACCAAGAAGGCCGAUGUGAUCGAUCUCACGCUGGAAAGCUCCUCCUCUUCCUCUGAUGAAGAGGACACAGCUCCUCUGCUGAAGAAACACUGCAUAUACCUUUCCAAGAAUGAGCAAGUGCAUACAAAGGGAGUGUUAGCGUUCCAGCCCACUGUGCACAUGCCUAAUGUCCAGCCUCUGGACCCGACCUAUCUGACCUCUCCUCUGACUGACUAUGCAGUUCCCUUUCAUCAGUCCCCACAGGCCAGCAUCCCAGCAGAGAUGCAGGGUCUGGAUUUGUUUUCCUUAAUACAAGCAGAUCAGCAUUACCACCCUCAAAUGUUUCUUGACAACUU